GCAGAGCCUGUGGUGAGAAGAGCGCAUGGCUGAGGGGCCAAGGGGUGCUGUUUCCUGCUGGUGGGGCAGGAGCAGAGAGGAAGGCCGCUCUGAGGAGGCGGGGGGAGGAGGCACGAGGCCACAGGUGAGGUCUGCAGGGCUGGCCCCACAGGGACGUGGGCCAGCCAAUGCCAAGGCCAGUCUGAGGCCCCCGCCCUCUGCUCCUGAUGACCGGCGUGGAGCCAAAGGCCCCGGGCUCGGCCUUGCCCAUCAGGGAAAUGCCACAUUGCUCUGGAAUGAGGUGAUUCUGAGCAGCGAUGGGAGGAAAUGGGUAUUUAUGUAACGGUGGGCAUGGUUUUUAUUUUCCCUAAUUUUCAGAUUACUUUCGAUUAGUCCUCACUGGAGGAGAAAAGGCUUGAAGUGAAAUAGAUCUAGCCUAAAUCAUUACGGGCCGCCCAGCCUCAGGCCGCCUUUGUGGACAAUUGCCCCGGACCCAGGGUUAGGGGGCGAAGCCUGGCCGGGGCACUUCCUCCGCGCCCACGGGCCGGGAGAGCGCAGGGCUCUCGGCACCGGCCCUCCGCGCUCCUGCCGACACACAGCGGCCAUUCAUUCCUCCACCCCUCCGGCCGGAGGGGCCCGGGGGAGGGAGGGGGAGAGCGGUUCUCGCCGACAUCUGGACUCUAUCUCCUCUCCCCGCCCCCAACCCGGCACAGGGAGGGGGGUGGGGGAGGGGAAAAGGGAGAAAAUGCUCAGACCGAAUUCAGAUGCUUUCAUGAAUUUUACACCAGAAAUGUUUUGACAUGAAUAUUCUUGCUAGUCUCCAGCAUUUGCCAAAAGAAAUUCAACUCCGCAGGACUGCUCGGAUAUGUUCCCUAGAUGACUGUAGAGGCGCGGGGAGGCCUGGAGGCCGGGACCCGGCACCUGCGAGGCACGCGGGGCGCGGCCUGGGGAAGCGGGGGGUGGGGGCACUGGAGCCCUGGGCCUGAGGGCAGUGCCCUUGCAGAGCUCUCUGCCAUCUGGGAGGCCUGGUGUGGUACCCCGAGGCCAGGGGGCGCGCUUCCUCCCAUCCUCCCGCGGGACAGGUCCAUCACGGGGUCCAGCUAGUGAGGCCGGGCAGCCCUGAAGCUGUUAGAUGGGAGCCGGAGCCAGAGGGUUGGGGCAGUGUACAGACACCGCCGGAAGGAGCUGCACACGCACAGGAGCAGCGAGUUGCUUUUGCAGAGCUGAAUAAAGUCACUUCUGGUUCUUUUU